UACGUAGGGGGCAAGCGUUAUCCGGAUUUACUGGGUGUAAAGGGCGUGUAGGCGGGAAAGCAAGUCAGAUGUGAAAACCACGGGCUCAACCUGUGGCCUGCAUUUGAAACUGACGGUCUUGAGUGGGCGAGAAGUAUGCGGAAUGCGUGGUGUAGCGGUGAAAUGCAUAGAUAUCACGCAGAACUCCGAUUGCGAAGGCAGCAUACCGGCGCUCAACUGACGCUGAGGCACGAAAGUGCGGGUAGCGAGCAGG
rnacentral:rRNA from 1 species